UAUCCUGUCUGAAUAUGGGGGGACCAUCCUCCAAGGCUAAAUACUCCUGACUGACCGAUAGUGAACCAGUACCGUGAGGGAAAGGCGAAAAGAACCCCGGCGAGGGGAGUGAAAAAGAACCUGAAACCGUGUACGUACAAGCAGUGGGAGCACGCUUAGGCGUGUGACUGCGUACCUUUUGUAUAAUGGGUCAGCGACUUAUAUUCUGUAGCAAGGUUAACCGAAUAGGGGAGCCGAAGGGAAACCGAGUCUUAACUGGGCGUUAAGUUGCAGGGUAUAGACCCGAAACCCGGUGAUCUAGCCAUGGGCAGGUUGAAGGUUGGGUAACACUAACUGGAGGACCGAACCGACUAAUGUUGAAAAAUUAGCGGAUGACUUGUGGCUGGGGGUGAAAGGCCAAUCAAACCGGGAGAUAGCUGGUUCUCCCCGAAAGCUAUUUAGGUAGCGCCUCGUGAAUUCAUCUCCGGGGGUAGAGCACUGUUUCGGCAAGGGGGUCAUCCCGACUUACCAACCCGAUGCAAACUGCGAAUACCGGAGAAUGUUAUCACGGGAGACACACGGCGGGUGCUAACGUCCGUCGUGAAGAGGGAAACAACCCAGACCGCCAGCUAAGGUCCCAAAGUCAUGGUUAAGUGGGAAACGAUGUGGGAAGGCCCAGACAGCCAGGAUGUUGGCUUAGAAGCAGCCAUCAUUUAAAGAAAGCGUAAUAGCUCACUGGUCGAGUCGGCCUGCGCGGAAGAUGUAACGGGGCUAAACCAUGCACCGAAGCUGCGGCAGCGACGCUGAUGCGUUGUUGGGUAGGGGAGCGUUCUGUAAGCCUGCGAAGGUGUGCUGUGAGGCAUGCUGGAGGUAUCAGAAGUGCGAAUGCUGACAUAAGUAACGAUAAAGCGGGUGAAAAGCCCGCUCGCCGGAAGACCAAGGGUUCCUGUCCAACGUUAAUCGGGGCAGGGUGAGUCGACCCCUAAGGCGAGGCCGAAAGGCGUAGUCGAUGGGAAACAGGUUAAUAUUCCUGUACUUGGUGUUACUGCGAAGGGGGGACGGAGAAGGCUAUGUUGGCCGGGCGACGGUUGUCCCGGUUUAAGCGUGUAGGCUGGUUUUCCAGGCAAAUCCGGAAAAUCAAGGCUGAGGCGUGAUGACGAGGCACUACGGUGCUGAAGCAACAAAUGCCCUGCUUCCAGGAAAAGCCUCUAAGCAUCAGGUAACAUCAAAUCGUACCCCAAACCGACACAGGUGGUCAGGUAGAGAAUACCAAGGCGCUUGAGAGAACUCGGGUGAAGGAACUAGGCAAAAUGGUGCCGUAACUUCGGGAGAAGGCACGCUGAUAUGUAGGUGAAGUCCCUCGCGGAUGGAGCUGAAAUCAGUCGAAGAUACCAGCUGGCUGCAACUGUUUAUUAAAAACACAGCACUGUGCAAACACGAAAGUGGACGUAUACGGUGUGACGCCUGCCCGGUGCCGGAAGGUUAAUUGAUGGGGUUAGCGCAAGCGAAGCUCUUGAUCGAAGCCCCGGUAAACGGCGGCCGUAACUAUAACGGUCCUAAGGUAGCGAAAUUCCUUGUCGGGUAAGUUCCGACCUGCACGAAUGGCGUAAUGAUGGCCAGGCUGUCUCCACCCGAGACUCAGUGAAAUUGAACUCGCUGUGAAGAUGCAGUGUACCCGCGGCAAGACGGAAAGACCCCGUGAACCUUUACUAUAGCUUGACACUGAACAUUGAGCCUUGAUGUGUAGGAUAGGUGGGAGGCUUUGAAGUGUGGACGCCAGUCUGCAUGGAGCCGACCUUGAAAUACCACCCUUUAAUGUUU
rnacentral:rRNA from 1 species